GUACUUUUAUCUUUGGCGUAGCCAACACUGAGCCUCCAUGUUCAAGGUUUGGCUUUUGCACUAACACUUCAGGUAUUUUUGGGCACUCUUUUUCUUAUUUUCCAGAUUUAUUGUUUUCAUUUUCUUCAUCUUCCAAGUCUGAUAAUACAAUAGAUUUCCGCCUUAUUUUUCUGCUACCGACACUUGUUGAUGUAUUUUUAUGUUGAUGCUCCUUCUGAGGUUCUGUACUCCCGUUUUAUCUUCUGGAUCCUAUUUCGCAGGGACCAACUCGCAUGUGUUCUUGGUAAGCUCACAUUUGCUGAUUUGUACGUGCAGAAAUCACAUGAAUGGAUGAACUAAGAGACGGAUUUAUUUAAGGAAUAGUUUGUACAAUGAAGUAUCCAAUCACCUUUUUAACUGGCUCAUUCUGUUUAUUUGAUUCUUGUUUUAACAUGUCCGCCUCAUCAUCCAUCAAAUCCUGUUGAGCACAAUGGAUAAAGAACAUAAAUAUCUGCUUCCAUUGUUUCAUAUAAAAGGGGUAUAAUAAUUGGUGUACAAAUAAUAAAUUUAAUGAUUUAAUCAACCAUUACCUCUUCAGCUUUAUCGUCUAAGUAUCGCUUUUCAAGCCUCUCAUGAGGCACACAUGUUUUUUUACUGUAUAGUUUUGUAUACCUAGAGUGAAGUUCUUAUUGUUGAGUUUGAACCGAAAGAUAAGUCUUUGUCCACAUAAUUCACAUAUAAUCUUUGCGACUUCUUCAGAUCUUCCAUCUAAGAAAGUCAACAGGAAUGAGACUGGUAUAUUGAAACUUUCAGCCUCUUCAUCAAAUAAAGAAAACAACCUUAUUAAUGAAAAGUUGACGCAUAGAUAUACACAUAUUCUCGCAUAAGAAUUCCAAUCUCACAUAUAUCUAAAGUUGUUGUUUUUUUGUUGUCAUCCUUGAUUCUAUUGGUUUAAUCUUGGUAAGAACCCAAUGACAUCUGCAAAUUUUAAGAUCAAUGACUUCAAAAUUAGAAAGUUAAUCAUUGGGAGUAUAUUAGCACAACUACCAACAUAUGACUUCAAAUUAAAAAUAACCACUUGGAAGUAAGAAAUAUGACUACCAACAUACCUGAGCAUUGUUGGUCUUUUUCUAGCUGUUCUUGUAGGGUAUCUUUGCUAGCAAACUCGAAGUACUAAUCUGGAAAAUUAUCCGAGGAACCUUUCAUCUUUGUUAGGUCUGUUUUGUAUAGAAUUUUUUUUAGUUUCUUCGUUGACUGGGCGAUAUUUUGUCGGAUCUACAACUUUAAAAUUGCUAAAAGCAUAUAUGGAACCCUCGUUGAUCUUCGAUCUAUAAGUGUCCAUUAGAUUCUUCUAGAUAGUAGCAUGAAUUGUAUCACCCUUCAAAACUGAAUGAAGAUAAUCUUAGAAAUAAUUUUGAUAGUAGAAGAAAUCCAUUGUUAUAAUGUGAAGAAAAUACCUGCUCAUCCAUCUAGAUCAUAUCAAUGCUUAUAAGUUCAUCAGGUGAAGGGUUGAUUGAAAUUGACUACUUGUGUCCUCAAAUUUUACAUCAAUAUGUUUAGUCUCAAACUAAAUAUUCCCAGACUUUAACUUCAUGUCAUCCUUGUGGCUGCAUGAACAGUACUUUUAUCUUUGGUGUAGCCAACACUGAGCCUCCAUGUUCAAGGUUUGGCUUUUGCACUAACACUUCAGGUAUUUUUGGGCACUCUUUUUCUUAUUUUCCAGAUUUAUUGUUUUCAUUUUCUUCAUCUUCCAAGUCUGAUAAUACAAUAGAUUUCCGCCUUAUUUUUCUACUACCGACACUUGUUGAUGUAUUUUUAUGUUGAUGCUCCUUCUAGGUUCUGUACUCCCGUUUUAUCUUCUGGAUCCUAUUUCGCAGGGACCAACUCGCAUGUGUUCUUGGUAAGCUCACAUUUGCUGAUUUGUACGUGCAGAAAUCACAUGAAUGGAUGAACUAAGAGACGGAUUUAUUUAAGGAAAAGUUUGUACAAUGAAGUAUUCAAUCACCUUUUUAACUGGCUCAUUCUGUUUAUUUGAUUCUUGUUUUAACAUGUCCGCCUCAUCAUCCAUCAAAUCCUGUUGAGCACAAUGGAUAAAGAACAUAAAUAUCUGCUUCCAUUGUUUCAUAUAAAAAGGGUAUAAUAAUUGGUGUACAAAUAAUAAAUUUAAUGAUUUAAUCAACCAUUACCUCUUCAGCUUUAUCGUCUAAGUAUCGCUUUUCAAGCCUCUCGUGAGGCACAAAUGUUUUUUUACUGUAUAGUUUUGUAUACCUAGAGUGAAGUUCUUAUUGUUGAGUUUGAACCGAAAGAUAAGUCUUUGUCCACAUAAUUCAGAUAUAAUCUUUGCGACUUCUUCAGAUUUUCCGUCUAAGAAAG
rnacentral:lncRNA from 1 species